GUGCUCGCUUUGGCAGCACCUAUGCUAAAACUGGAAUGAUACACACAAGAUUAGCAUGGCCCCGGUGCAAGGAUGACACCCAAAUUUGUGAAGCAUUCCACAUUUUU